GGCGGCAUAGCCAAGUGGUAAGGCAACGGUCUGCAAAACCGUUAUACAUCAGUUCGAAUCUGAUUGCCGCCUCCA
rnacentral:tRNA from 1 species